rnacentral:lncRNA from 1 species
UUUCUUGCUGAAUAUUUAGGUUGUGAGAUUGGUUCGAAUCAACAAGGAUCUCAGAUCGAACAAGGAUCUCAAAUCGGAACCUCGAAACUCCGCUAAUAUAAACUCGAACGACGAUCUCACAAACUUGAAUGAAGAAACGAAGCUGGUGCAGUAAACCAUAUUUGCAAAUGAGAUCCAAAGUAGGGCUCGUUCUGAUCGAAGAAGAAAAGAGAUCGUGAGGGUGGGAUCUCUGGUAAAAGCUAUCAGCUGCGCUCAAUUUUUCCCAGACGCCUCUCUAAUUUCUCUGUGUUUAUGUGCGUGUAUUGUAUGUAUAGGUGUGUGUUUUUGUGAAGAAGCAGCCGCCAGCUGCGCAGACCCUUUCUCCCAGCGUCUCUAUGUGUGUCUCUCUGUAGUGUAUUCUCCUCAAGAAGCUCAGC